rnacentral:misc_RNA from 1 species
UGCGUGCUUCUUGUGAUUAUGAUAUCCACAGCGCACAUCCCUACACGCACACACUCGUACGGGCACGACCAGCGAAGGUACGGAUCUUUUUUUUUCUCGUUGUGCUGUUGCGUACCUCUCUGUGCUCGUCGACCGCGCAGCUCGUCCCUCUUUACCGUCGCCUUUGCUUGUCAUUUCUGCCCGAAGUGUCGGCCCGCAUCAGAAUGCGUGGUGUGGCAGUGUGUCGUGUGGGCACCACGGCUACAUUGUGCUCUUCUUCCAUGCUUGCUUCGCCCUCCCUGAUGUCGGUAAACCGAGCCCUUCGCACUAAGGUUGGUAUCAACACGAGUGAGCGUCUGCGCGCCGCUGAGCGGGAUGAGCCAGCCACCAGCUCUGCACGGCCGCCGCCGUCGGCGAUGGACCUGUCGUACAUUACGGGCAAGAUGCCCGACACCCUCGCAGCUUACCAGACCGAGCGUGCAGUGUGGUCCGCAACGACGUUCCGGUCGGCGUGGAGCAAGCUGCACAAGGCCUACGCGUCCUUUCUCGAGACGGACCCGGCGCGCGCCGCAGAGCUGCGGGCAAAAGAUUGGCAGGGCCUCGCGCUGUACAACGCGUACGCGGAGACGUUGCAUCUUAUGUCUCUCCUCCCCGCCACCCUGCGCACAGCCAUCACGCAGCACCCCUCCUUCGAUUACACUGAGGUGGAGGAGUUGUUUGUACACUUGGGCCAGGACGUCGAGGUACGCGGCAGUGGCGGGUGGGUCAUUCAGCUGCCGCCUCCGACGACGGCAGACCUGCAAUACCUCGUGAAGCACAUCGGCCGCUUUGGCGCCGACGGCCGCGGUUGUGUGGCGAACACAGCACACCGCGCUUCGGCCUGGCGCGGCCGCUUCGGCGAGGCGCUCGGUGUGACACUGCGAGUGGGGCGCUAUGUGCCAGGUGCAGCCCGCGCACUUUUGCCGCUCGCACAGCGCGGUAGUCUUCUCAUUCUGUCCAAAGCGGGUAUGGGCAAGACAACUAUCUUGCGCGACCUCGCCGCCGCGCUAGCGCAGGAGCCGGGAACGCCGCGCGUCACGGUCGUCGACACCUCCAACGAGAUCGGCGGCGACGGCCCCAUACCUCUGCCCUACCUCGGCCGAUGCCGUCGCAUCCAGGUUGCCCGACGCGAGGACCAGGGCCGUGUAAUGAUGGAAGUGAUUCAGAAUCACACGCCAGAGUAUCUCAUCGUGGACGAAAUCGCGACGGAGGAAGAGGCGGAGGCUGCCUGGUCUAUAUCGCAACGCGGCGUUCAUCUGAUCGGCACGUGCCACGGCGAGCACCUUGAGGGGCUUUUACAGAACCGUGCGUUGAACCUCCUCGUCGGUGGCGCCGCGCAGGCGUUUCUGAGCAACGAGGAGCGGCGUCUGCGCAACAAGACAAAGAAGACGGUGCUGGAGCGGCCGUACAGCUCGCCAUUUUCCUUUCUCGUCGAGCUGCAUGCGCGAAACCGAGGCCACCUCUACGUGGACGUAAACAAGGCGGUGGAUCUGGUGCUCGAUGAGCAGCCCGCGCAGUUGAACGCCGCAGUUGGCGCCGCAGUCGAGCUCAGCGCACUCCUUCCGAGCCGAGUGGAGAAGCUCUUGCGGUUGCAAGAGGAGAGAAAGCGGAAGCUCACAUAUGUUGCAGGCACGGACACGAACGACGACGAGGUUGACGAGGAAGACGAUGGCACGGCGACAUUUUCAAGUGCGACCCGGGGCACGGUGUACGAGGACGGCUACACGCUGCUGACUGACGAUGGUAAAGAUCCAGAGAGCAACCCCAGCAUUGCCUCCUCGACGUAUGCGGCGGCGAACCAUGCAAGUGGUCGCCGCCCACACUGGCAGGCCGAAAAGCAGCGGCGACACCGCAAGACGGACGAGGAGCUUUACAGGGAGCUGAAAGGCUUCUUCUGAGAUGGCUGCCUCUUGGGCGCCAAAGACUGCCCGGUGCACGAAUGCGGGCGGGCGCACCACGUGAUGAGAGAAUGCUGAGGUGACGAGGCGUUGAUGUGGCUUAAAGGUUUCCAUAACGGCGUCACGCAUAACUCGGAGGCUGUGCGGCAGCGUGCGUCCGUGUGUCUGUUGGAUCGCUCCGAUCUGCCGAUGAUGCCUUCUCUCUCUCUCUCUUCGUUCUUUUUUUUUAUCUGCUCACUUCUCACCCAG